rnacentral:sRNA from 1 species
CCGUCGAGCCGGGAAGAUGGCACCGCCCACGGAGCUGCUGGCCAGGCCGGAGCGAGGCAGCGCGCCCGGCUCCCGCGCCAUGGGGCGGCUGGUGGCUGUGGGCUUGCUGGGGAUCGCGCUGGCGCUCCUGGGCGAGAGGCUCCUGGCACUCAGAAAUCGACUUAAAGCCUCCAGAGAAGUAGAAUCUGUAGACCUUCCAAACUGCCACCUGAUUAAAGGAAUCGUCAGACCAAAGGCUUUGAGUCCCAGCUUCCCAGUUUGUGACCUUGAGCAAUUGAUUAACUUUUCCAAAGCCUCCAUAGUCUUCACUCUAAAAUAAAAGAUAAUCAUACUGCCUCUUAGUAUUAUGAAAUCAUAUGAGAUAUUGUAUGCAGGGUAUUUACAAGGAGCCUGGUACUUGGUGUACCUAAUGUAUGUUAGUUAUUAUUAUUAAAUUAGAGGAGCAAAAAUUUCUCUAGCAUUGACUGCUCUUGAUG